rnacentral:rRNA from 1 species
UACGGAGGGUGCAAGCGUUAUCCGGAUUUAUUGGGUUUAAAGGGUCCGUAGGCGGACUGUUAAGUCAGCGGUGAAAGCCCACAGCUCAACUGUGGAACUGCCGUUGAUACUGACAGUCUUGAGUACAAGUGAGGUUGGCGGAAUGUGUGGUGUAGCGGUGAAAUGCUUAGAUAUGACAUAGAAUACCGAUAGCGAAGGCAGCUUACUACAUGUUAAUUGACGCUGAGGCACGAAAGCGUGGGGAGCAAACAGG